UACGGAGGGUGCAAGCGUUAAUCGGAAUUACUGGGCGUAAAGGGCGCGUAGGUGGCCAGGUCAGUUGGGUGUGAAAGCCCCGAGCUCAACUCGGGAAUUGCAUUCAAUACUGCUUGGCUAGAGUGUGGUAGAGGGAAGCGGAAUUCCGGGUGUAGCGGUGAAAUGCGUAGAUAUCCGGAGGAACACCAGUGGCGAAGGCGGCUUCCUGGAUCAACACUGACACUGAGGCGCGAAAGCGUGGGGAGCAAACAGGAUUAGAUACCCUGGUAGUCCACGCCCUAAACGAUGAGAACUAGCCGUUGGGGGUAUUAGAAACCCUUUGUGGCGCAGCUAACGCGAUAAGUUCUCCGCCUG
rnacentral:rRNA from 1 species